AUGCGAGAGGUUCAUUGAAAAGAAGGGAAAGAAUAACAGGACUACUGGCAGUGAGAGUCUUUCUUCUGUCAACCUCAAGACUUGACAUCAUGAAGGGUACAUUUGAUAAGAACAAGGAACAGUAAAGAACUGUUCUGUAUCAUCAAUCUGGACUGAGAAGAAUGUGACCAGAAAGCCACCAUAAGAAGUCCUCUCCUCCUAGAAUGCCUGUAAAAGACACUCUUUGACCAUGAAUGUGUGCCCUUGCCAGGGGCCCAUGCUGUCCACUCAACAAAUAUUAAAAAAGGAUGGCAACCAGAGAAGAACUGAUAGUUUGAUCACUGGCUUUGCAAGGUGACUGUGUUGGACCUCAAUGUCUUCUUGGAGAUAUUCUGUACACACAUGGGCUUCUCAACUCACAAUGGUUAUCGAUAUCAACAGCAGCCACCUAUAUGAUAACAUUAGAUCCUUUCUGAUAGAAGACCUGAGGGAUUACAGCACCACUAUAAUGAUUUCUGGUUCAUUCAACCCACAUCUUCUGAAGAUCAUCCAAGAUGCAAGUGCCACCACCACGAAUCCCAUGCCAACCUCCAGUUUCCCCAGUGAAAAUGACACCCAGUGUGGAGAGCAGAUUCUUAACUAUGGUCACAUAGAAAAGCUGGUGAUAGGAGCCAUCCUCUCUCUUAUCACUUUACUUACAAUUGCAGGGAAUUGCUUGGUGGUCAUUUCUGUGUGCUUUGUGAAGAAACUUAGACAACCUUCAAACUAUCUGAUUGUGUCCCUAGCAUUAGCAGACCUAUCAGUGGCCAUUGCUGUCAUGCCUUUUGUUAGUGUAACUGACCUCAUUGGGGGUGAAUGGAUCUUUGGUCAAGUAUUUUGCAAUGUAUUUAUUGCAAUGGAUGUGAUGUGCUGUACAGCUUCCAUCAUGACUUUGUGUGUUAUUAGCAUUGACAGAUAUCUUGGAAUUACCAGACCAUUGACGUAUCCUGUGAGGCAGAACGGAAGAUGCAUGGCCAAAAUGAUCCUUUGUGUCUGGCUUCUUUCUGCCUCCAUCACUUUACCUCCACUAUUUGGAUGGGCCCAGAAUGUAAACGAUGAUAAAGUUUGUCUCAUAAGCCAAGAUUUUGGUUACACCAUUUACUCUACAGCUGUGGCCUUUUACAUCCCAAUGUCAGUGAUGUUGUUCAUGUACUACCGAAUUUUCAAAGCGGCAAAGCAAAGUGCUGCAAAACACAAAUUUGGUGGCUUUCCACGCCAUGAAGAAAGCGAAGGGAUGAUCACGGCAAACGGGGUUGUGAAAAUGUACAGAGAAUCAGAAGAAUGUUCAAAUUUCUCCAAGUUACUCAGAAAUGACAGGAAAAAUAUCUCCAUCUUUAAGAGGGAACAAAAAGCUGCUACAACACUUGGAAUUAUUGUAGGAGCAUUCACUGUUUGCUGGUUACCCUUUUUUAUACUUUCAACAGCGAGACCCUUUAUUUGCGGAACUGAAUGCAGUUGCAUUCCACUGUGGAUGGAGAGGACAUUUUUAUGGUUGGGAUAUGCAAACUCUCUAAUAAACCCUUUUAUUUACGCAUUUUUUAACAGAGAUCUGAGGACAACGUAUCGAAACCUGUUACAAUGCAGGUACAGGAACAUCAACAGGAAGUUAUCUGCUGCGGGAAUGCAUGAGGCUCUAAAACUUGCAGAAAGGCCUGAUCGGAUUCUGAAACCAACCAUUACAAGGACCACGCGCAGAUCCUGCACCACACCAUAUCCCUAGGAGGGGAUCAUUACGCCCAAGCAUUCAAGUUGGAGCUGAACCGACACUCCCAAAAAAAAAAAAUGCUCUCAAGAAGAUCUUCUUCAAGAACAAUUCAUCAACAGGAUGCAUUUGUAAUCCAUGCUUAACAUGUAC